rnacentral:rRNA from 1 species
GACGAACGCUGGCGGCGUGCUUAACACAUGCAAGUCGAACGGAAAGGCCCUGCUUUUGUGGGGUGCUCGAGUGGCGAACGGGUGAGUAACACGUGAGUAACCUGCCCUUGACUUUGGGAUAACUUCAGGAAACUGGGGCUAAUACCGGAUAGGAGCUCCUGCUGCAUGGUGGGGGUUGGAAAGUUUCGGCGGUUGGGGGUGGACUCGCGGCUUAUCAGCUUGUUGGUGGGGUAGUGGCUUACCAAGGCUUUGACGGGUAGCCGGCCUGAGAGGGUGACCGGCCACAUUGGGACUGGGCUACGGCCCAGACUCCUACGGGAGGCAGCAGUGGGGAAUAUUGCACAAUGGGCGGAAGCCUGAUGCAGCAACGCCGCGUGGGGGAUGACGGCCUUCGGGUUGUAAACCGCUUUCGCCUGUGACGAAGCGUGAGUGACGGUAAUGGGUAAAGAAGCACCGGCUAACUACGUG